CGCAGUCAUACUGAAAAAGGGUGACACAAUAAGAUUCAGAGAUGGAGACAAUGAAGAAUGGAAAUGUGGGCUGAUAGACAGUCGAGCAGGAAAGGCGACAGGUGCACAAAAGAACAGCUAUAAUGUGCACGUUGAUGGUGAGGAUGAGGCUCAAGUAAUCGACCUAACUGAUAAAAAGGUGGAAAGAUUGCUUUGUACAAAAGAAGACAAACUCACAGUCACGAAAGAAGUACCAAAACAGGUCCCAAAAAAGGUCCCAACGCAGAAGAUCGUCAGAAAGAAAUAGAGACAGGACUGUUCCAGAAUUCGCAGUGUCAACCAUCAAAGACCUGAGCUUAUACUCAGGAGUGUCAAAGAACCAUUCAUGUCAUUUUAAUUACCAACACGUGUAAUGUAAUUUACCAAUUUGUGUCAUUUUAUUAAUAAUUACUUUAACAGAUUUGUUUUACAAGAAUUUAUCUAUAGUUUUGUAUUGUAGUUCAAAACUACAACUUUUAACGGGAAUUUUAUAUACUUUUUACGUGCAUAUUUAAACGCUUGUUUUAAUAUUCAUGUAUAUUUUCAAUUUUGUAACCUGUUUAACAGCGAGUGUUUUGACAGGGAAAUUUGUAAUAUUUCAAACAUCACCUGUUAUGAUGUUGAUAACUGCAGUGUGGCAGUGUUUCCUAACAGUUAGAUUUUAAAAUUUUAGAAAGUUGGGUAUUUUAAACUAAGAAAAUUGGAUACAUUCACUGUGUAAAGUUAACCUCAUUUACGUAUUUUCCUAUAAUUUUAACCCCGAAUUACAGAUCCCUAUCUUCAUGAACGGAAACUUUUUAAACUUUCAGGUCGAGUAUAUGAUCUCGAACUGGUAACUAUUAACAACAAAUUUUCAGUGCCAAAGUCCUAUCUCCUAACAUCACUUUAUUUUUUUUCGCAGUUAAUUUCUUGUCAGUUAGUCAGUACCUGUCAGUAUCAAUUUUAACACUGCUAACAAAUAGAUCAAUUCAUAUAAAAUAUAAAUAUCGAGUGUGCAUGUUAAGAUAUUGUUAAAGCUGUUGAUUAGUUUGUAUCUUACUGGAAAACUGAGUUUUAGAAACAGUUGAGCAAUAACCUAUAUUUUGAUUGUUACAGUUGGUGGAAGCUUUUUUCCAGUUCAACUAAGAGAGGUUUUGCUAAACUGUCGGCUUAUUCUUCGGAAUAUUGACCUAGCUCCAGUUUAAUCAGUUUUCUAGUAAAAUUCUAACACAGCAAUUUCUCAAGAAAAACGGUAUGUUUUAAAAAGGGAGUUUCGGUGAAAACACCAUUUUUAAUCGUAAGUUAUGAUUUUGCAGAAUUCUGCAGUAUUAUGGGGUACUUUGAAUUUUGUAAAUCUGAUAAUUUUUGAUUCAGAUGAUUGAGACGGAAGUUUUAAAAUGACGUGGAUUUUAAACGAUUUUUUAAGUAGACUUUUUUCCUUUGUGAGAGGAAAAUUUUGCUUAUUACUAGCAAAAUUUGAAAUUUAGAACGGCGCGGCGUGUUGUGCACGACAGUUCUUUUUGUAUUUUGGUGGAUCGGUUUUCGGGCUUUUUUAAAAAAUUUUUAAAUUGGGAUGAGUGUUAUAAUAUAUGAGUUCUAAGAUUAUUCUUUGUAUUAUAAAUAUAUAUUAUAGCUAAUGUGAGAAGGUGUCACGGUGAAGAAGAGGUAAAGAAGAGAUCCAACGAGGAAGGAGUAACAGAAGGUGUGUUAGAGUAACAGUGCUGUGUAGAAGGUGUACCAGCCUGCGAAGUCCUUCGUGGAUAGUGUAGUAGAACACCGGUGUUUUUAGUGUGUGUGUGUAGUAUUGUAGUGGAGUGUGGAACGAAGAUAAGAAGAUAUAGUAAACAGUAGCUAGGAGUGUAAGUAGUAGUCAACUAGAAGAAAGAAGAUAGUAACGAAGAAGUGUAAUUUGUAUAAACAUAGUUUUAGUAGUAUAUUUUAGUAGGAAGUAAAGACUUUUAGUUCGGAUAUUAUUUGGUGAUAUUUUAGUGUAGUAGUUUUAGUAAGUAGUUAGUUAGUAGUUAGUUUAUAGUGGGAAUCGGGUACAGGUCUAGGGAGGUUAGUGAGUAAGUGAAUUAUUAUAAUAUCUAGUGUUAAUUUAUUAACACCUUCUAUUUCAGUUUAUUUAUUAUAA